UGUGAGAGGCUUCCAUAGUCAUUGAAACACGGACGCGCCAUUGGGAAGCAGGCGGUUGAUGGAAACAUCGAUGCGCGCCCCUCAUUCCUACACAGUUUGAGGGUCCCCUUUGGUAGAGAUUAACUUUGAACAAAUUAGAGUGUUUAAAACAGGCUUUAUAGCCUUGAAUAUAUUAGCAUAGCAUUACAGAAUAUGAUGGUCCCAGUCGAAAGCCUUGUAGAACUUGUUCUUAUAGGUUGGGUCACAUAAUGAGAGAGAGGAAUUGAUGGGGCGAUCUUUACUCAUUGGGAAGGGGUGAAAUCCUAUGAUCCAAUGAAGAAACACUAAUGCGAAGGCACCUCGCUAAGAUGUUUCUAUUAGUCAAGUACGAAAGUUAAGGGCGCGAAGAUGAUUAGAUACCAUCGUAGUCUUAACGGUAAACAAUGUUGAUUUAGGAUGUGAGAUCAUUUAUUAUGACUUCUCAUGGAUUAUACGAGAAAUCUAGAAUAUUCGAACUCUAGGGGUAGUAUAGUCGCAAGACAGAAACUUAAACGAAUUGACGGAAGAGCACCACCAGGCGUGGAACCUGCGGCUUAAUUUGACCCAACGCGGGAAACCUUACCAGGACAGGACAUUAAAAGGAUUGACAGAUUGAUAGCUCUUUCAUGAUAUAAUGAAAGGUGGUGCAUGGCCGUUUUUAGUUGGUGGUUUGAAUUGUCUGGUUAAUUCCGAUAACGUAACAAGACCUUUUCCUGCUUUUUAGCAGGGGCUUAGAGCUGACAGUAGUGGCUUUAGUGACGUCUUCGGACCGAGCGGCCCGUCGGCCUCCUUCGCCUUGCUUCUUAGAGGUACUCUUUUUGUUUGUGAAACAAUUAAAAGGAAGAAAGACAAUAACAGGUCUGUGAUGCCCUUAGAUGUUUUGGGAUGCACGCGCGUUACAAUGAGGCUUUCACAUAGUGAUGCCGUGUUAGAGAUGACUCAGGAAAUCUCAAAAACAGUCUCGUGAUGGGGAUUGUGUUUUGCAAUUAUCGCACAUGAACGAGGAAUGCCUUGUAGGGGUGUAUCAUUAAUGCACCCCGAAUUAGUCCCUGCUCUUUGUACACACCGCCCGUCGCUCCUACUGAUUGAAUUUUGUGAUGAGGACCUUGGACUGUAGACAGAUGUACUAGGAUAGUCGAAAGUCAAGGUGGCAUGAAGUCGACCCUUUA
rnacentral:rRNA from 1 species